UAAUAAUGCAGGUAGAGAUACACUGUAUACUCGCGUCACCGAACUAACGUUUAAGCGAUAUGUAAUAUCGUCGCCGCGAGGACGCCUUCGGGCGUCUUUUUUUU
rnacentral:sRNA from 1 species